rnacentral:rRNA from 1 species
AUUGAACGCUGGCGGCAGGCUUAACACAUGCAAGUCGAGCGGAGAUGAGGUGCUUGCACCUUAUCUUAGCGGCGGACGGGUGAGUAAUGCUUAGGAAUCUGCCUAUUAGUGGGGGACAACAUUCCGAAAGGAAUGCUAAUACCGCAUACGCCCUACGGGGGAAAGCAGGGGAUCUUCGGACCUUGCGCUAAUAGAUGAGCCUAAGUCGGAUUAGCUAGUUGGUGGGGUAAAGGCCUACCAAGGCGACGAUCUGUAGCGGGUCUGAGAGGAUGAUCCGCCACACUGGGACUGAGACACGGCCCAGACUCCUACGGGAGGGAGCAGUGGGGAAUAUUGGACAAUGGGCGGAAGCCUGAUCCAGCCAUGCCGCGUGUGUGAAGAAGGCCUUUUGGUUGUAAAGCACUUUAAGCGAGGAGGAGGCUACCUGGAUUAAUACUCUAGGAUAGUGGACGUUACUCGCAGAAUAAGCACCGGCUAACUCUGUGCCAGCCGCCGCAGUAAGAC